rnacentral:rRNA from 1 species
UACGAAGGGGGCUAGCGUUGUUCGGAAUUACUGGGCGUAAAGCGUAUGCAGGCGGACUUUUAAGUCGGGGGUGAAAUCCCGAGGCUCAACCUCGGAACUGCCUUCGAUACUGGAAGUCUUGAGUCCGGGAGAGGUGAGUGGAACUCCGAGUGGUAGAGGUGAAAUUCGUAGAUAUUCGGAAGAACACCAGUGGCGAAGGCGACUCACUGGACACAUAUUGACGCUGAGGUGCGAAAGCGUGGGGGAGCAAACAGGGAU